UCUCAGUUCGGAUUGGAGUCUGCAACUCGACUCCAUGAAGCUGGAUUCGCUAGUAAUCGCGCAUCAGCCAUGGCGCGGUGAAUACGUUCCCGGGCCUUGUACACACCGCCCGUCAAGCCAUGGGAGCCGGGAGUGCCUGAAGUGCGUGAGCGCAAGCAGCGCCCUAAGGUAAAACCGGUGACUGGGGCUAAGUCGUAACAAGGUAUC
rnacentral:rRNA from 1 species